UCCAACUUUUGAGUUAGCCGAAAGCUAACAUUGCAGCGGUGGAACUUGCGUUUGAUAGGCUGCACGUCAUCAUAACCUAACCAGUAAACGCCACUCUGAUUGGCUGAGGGACCACGUCAUCAUAACCCAAGCAGUAAACGCCACUCUGAUUGGCCGAGGCAACAAGCAUUUGGCGCGUACUGCUGAAGCAAGUGGCUGCUCGGCUCUGUUCAGCUUCCAUCAAAUCAAAGCGAUCCAAAAUCAUCGUUUUCUACUCAGUUGAAGGUGGCGUGCGGUGUCUCCUUCAUUUUGGAUGUGGAGUGAGGUAUCCUGCCCUUUAGGAGCACCUAAACAAGAUGGCUUUAAGGAUGAGAGAAGGG